rnacentral:lncRNA from 1 species
GUGGUGCUGGGUGAGAUGCGCAUUAAAUGUUUGAGGAAACAAUCGCUUCACCACAGGGCCGGUGGCAGGUGCUGAUGGAAGGAGUCUUCUCAGUGAACAUGCACGGUGAGUGGGAUGGCUGUUUGUGGACUGAGGAGGGUGGGGGAGACCAGCAGAGAAGAGGCCCCUGGAGGGGAGGGGAGGGCAGGCCAGGCAUUUCUCCUGACAGGUGCCCCUCCCUGCGGC